AUACGGAGGGGGCUAGCGUUGUUCGGAAUUACUGGGCGUAAAGCGCGCGUAGGCGGAUUGUUAAGUCGGGGGUGAAAUCCCGGGGCUCAACCCCGGAACUGCCUCCGAUACUGGCAGUCUUGAGUUCGAGAGAGGUGAGUGGAAUUCCGAGUGUAGAGGUGAAAUUCGUAGAUAUUCGGAGGAACACCAGUGGCGAAGGCGGCUCACUGGCUCGAUACUGACGCUGAGGUGCGAAAGCGUGGGGAGCGAACGGGAUUAGAAACCCCAGUAGUCC
rnacentral:rRNA from 1 species